CAAUGGAUGUUGAAUGAAUUAAAUACCUUCAUUUUGGUUUAUGGACAGUGCUUUCAAAAUGAACAUUCUUCAGGGAAUGUUAUUAGAGUCUUCACAGUCAGGGGUGUCUUUUCCCAGGCAGGGAGAAGGAGGUUCAAUUCUCAGGACACACUAGGGAAGGAGUCUGGAGUCUCAGAGGCUGCCCAACAGGUGGGCCCAGGUGGAGGCCCGAAGCCACUGGCAACAGGACAUUGGGGACAGUGUAAUAAGGGACUGUAGCUGGCAGUCAGCGGGGAUAGAAGGCAGUUGAGCCUUGGGUGUGCUGUGGGCUUGGAGGCUCAAGUGAGUGUCUGGAGGGUGUGGAUGUAAACCAAGGUGCCCCAGGGGUGUCUGACUGGCAUAAGCUCCCUCUCUGCAAAAGCUCAUGUCCUUGUUGGGUGCCAGACCUGAGUCUGGGCCCCCCUGGGAGCCACAGAUGAUCAGUGGGGCGCUGGCCUGGCUGGCGCUGGUUGAAUGAAUGCACAUGGCCUGGAGUGCCAUCAAGGCUGAGAACUAAGAACGUGUGGGAUCUGCGUGAGCACGGGGACCAAGGACGUCCAUUCACUCAGCAAAUAUGUGUCGAGCACUGACUGUGUGUCAGGCCCAGGAAUGGACCAGGAUGGCCGGGGCGAGGGAGGCGUGCAGGUACUCACUGGGCCCAAUGGAAUGUCCCGCGAUGUAGGCAAAGACACAGAUGAUGCCGAGGUAGGACAGCUCGGGGACCCUGUUCUGUGGGGAGAGGCAGGGCUGUCUGGGCUGAGGCCAGGAGCCCCACGUGCGGGGGGGUCCACCUGCGGGUCCCACCUUCCUGCCCCAGGGAGGAGCUGCACCUAGAUGUCUGGGCACCUCCAUGGACCUUGAGGGCUCUGUGGGCAAGAGAGGAAGGCCAGUGAGAACCAGGCCUUGUAGCCUCCCACAGGGCUCCCUCCAGCCUCACCUGAUGAGCGUCAUGGAGAACGAGGGGCAUCUACCUUUGAGUUAUUUUCCUGCCAGGUGCCAUUCUCUGCACUUUACAAAUCACAAAUAUUAACUCAUCUGAUCUUUAAGUGUCACUGGCGGUGGUCUCUGCAGGUGGCGCUCAGUCGUGCUCACCUCUUUUCACUUCCUAGAAUCCCUAAAGGUUCUGCUAAGAACUUAUAUUGGUUUUUUUUUUUUUUAGACAGAAUCUCGCUCUGUCACCCAGGCUGGAGCAGUGCUGUGAUCUUGGCUCACUGCAACCUCUGCCUCCUGAGUUCAAGUGAUUCUCCUGCCUCAGCCUCCCGAGUAACUGGGAUUACAGGCACACGCCACCACACCCGACUAAAUUUUGUAUUUUUAAUAGAGACGGGGUUUCACCACGUGGUCAGGCUGCUCUAGAACUCCUGACCUCAGGUGAUCCACCCGCUUUGGCUUCCCAAAGUGCUGGGAUUACAGGUGUGAGCCACUGCGUCUGGCUGAGAACUUAUACUGGUUUUAAAAUUAAAGAAGAAAGUUCUUUCCGAGGGAAACUUUAAUUGAUUUAUGAGCAUCACUAACACUGUUCGUCGCCAGGCCUUGCUUUCCCCGCAGGCCCUGGCCUCCUGGUCAUUCCCUGAAUCCCCCAGCUCUUUCCCACAUGGAGCUCUCUGCACUCUCUGGUGGUUAAGGACAAGUCAUUGCAGAGAGGGCAGCUUGGAAAAGAAGGAAAAGAGCAAAGAUCUUGGCUCUACAUGACAGAAUGAGCUCCUCACACAUUCUUGUACUCAUGUGCAAUUGCGUUGCUGAUAUAUUUUCCAUUUGAAAGGGCUCAGGACAGUGCUGCCGUUCCUGCACAAGCAACAGCAAAGAGGCUGCCUCGGAGACACAGAAUGCUGGUUGCUUUUUAGAGAUUUUAUAUCAUGACACACCACGUAUUUUCAUCACUUCCGUAGAACGUGGAUAAUACAUACAGGCUGAGAACACUGCAAAUUAAAAUGAUGUACUUCUUGUUUGGGUGGUCUGCUGUGUUUUAGUCUUACUGAAAAAUGAUUCGUAGUUUUGUUUUGUUUUUUCUUUUUUGAGACAGGGUCUCACUGUCCCCCAGGCUGGAGUACAAUGGUGCGAUCAUGGCUCACUGCAGCCUUGACCUCCCAGGCUCAGGUGAUCCUCCCACCUCAGCUUCCUGAGUAGCUGGGACUACAGGUGCACAC
rnacentral:lncRNA from 1 species